rnacentral:rRNA from 1 species
UACGUAGGGGGCAAGCGUUGUCCGGAUUUAUUGGGCGUAAAGAGCGUGUAGGCGGUCAGGCGGGUCCGUUGUGAAAACUCGAGGCUCAACCUCGAGACGCCGAUGGAAACCAUCUGACUAGAGUCCGGAAGAGGAGAGUGGAAUUCCUGGUGUAGCGGUGAAAUGCGCAGAUAUCAGGAAGAACACCCGUGGCUAAGGCGGCUCUCUAGUACGGUACUGACGCUGAGACGCGAAAGCGUGGGGAGCGAACAGG